rnacentral:lncRNA from 1 species
GCCUUUUUGAAAUAGUAUCAUGAUUUUUCCAAACAUGUGAAAAAUUUAAUGUAGCAAGUAACUGUUCAAUCUUUUUAGCAAAUCCAUUGGUUAAUUGUUAAUUGCAGGUUGGAACAAUAUACAUCUUUUAGUAAACAAUUGUUAUCAGAUUUGAUCACAUGCAACCAGAAGCCAAUUGACAGUUUUAAAGCUUCUAUAAAAACUGGAUACAUACCAAGUUCAGCUAGUACUGCUAAAUUGACAGCUGAUUUAUUUACUCCAAUUAAAGUUUUUGCAAAUUUAAUUUGGACUUUGAUGGUAGCCAAUGACCAAUAUUUUGACUCUAGAUUUGUAAUAUCUUUUAUCAUAUACAGAGACCAAACUUCACUACAGUAAAGAAGUAUAGGUUUAACACAAGCAUCAAAAAGCUUUAAGUGAGGUAAUACAUUGAUAUCUUCAGAAAAUAACAGUUUUCUAAUACAAAAUAUAGCUUUUGAGGCUUUUUUACAAAGAAGUCUCACUGCUUCUGUAAAACUACCAGAUGGUUUAAACAGUAUACCCAAAUAUUUAUAUUCUGUACAGUGUUCCAAAAUAUUAUCACUAAAAACAAACUUGUCUUUUGUAAGUUUUUUACCUGAUUUGUUAAAAAUCAUAACUUUGGUUUUGUCAAGAUUUACUGUUAAAUCCCAACUAGUGCAAUAUAAACUAAGCUUGUCAAGGCAUUUUUGUAAGCCAUUAGCCGAUUCAGAAAUAAGGACUAAAUCAUCAGCGUAUAACAGACAUGAUAUAUCAUUAUCAUUUAACUUGGGUGGUUCACAUGUUGAGUCAAAAAUAGAUGGUAAAUCAUUAAUAUAUAAAGAAAAUAAUGUAGGGCUUAAAAUACACCCUUGUUUUACCCCAACUGAGGAAUUAAAAAAAUCAGUGAUACCUUCCGAGAUCUUUACCGAGUACAAAACCUCUUUAUACAUAUCUUUCAUUAUACUAAAAAAGGGACCAUCUAUGUUGUAAUAAGACAAUUUGUAAAAGAGGGCAUCUCUGUUAAUAGUAUCAAAUGCCUUCCUGAAAUCAAUGAAACAGGCAUAUAUCUUUUUUGAUGAUUUAAAUGCUUUAUCAAUUAUAGUUUUUAGAGUUAAAAUAUGAUCACUUGUUCGACUUCCCUUUCUGAAUCCAAUUUGCUCACGACAAAUAAGUUCAUUUCCUUCAAGAUACUUUUCUAAUCUGUUAUGUAAAACUUUUAGAAAAAAUUUUCCUAAACAACUUGAAAGGGCUAUACCUCGGUAAUUAGAUGGAUCAUUAAAACACCCACCCUUGAAAAUGGGCUUAAUAAAAUUUUUUCUCCAUAAAGUUGGGUAGAUACCAGACUUAAGUAUAAGAUUAAACAAUUUUACAUAAACAUCAAUAUUCAUAUAACAAGAUAUUUGUAACAUUUCAUUUGUAAUACAAUCUGAACCACUUGCUUUAUUAUUCUUUAAAGAUUUUGCUGCAAUAACCACCUCCUCAGUUGUAAUAAAACUGUUUAACAUCUUAGUACAUG